rnacentral:rRNA from 1 species
GGGGAAUUUUGGACAAUGGGCGCAAGCCUGAUCCAGCCAUUCCGCGUGAGUGAAGAAGGCCUUCGGGUUGUAAAGCUCUUUCGCAAGGGAAGAAAACUUACUUUCUAAUAAAGAGUGAGGCUGACGGUACCUUGAUAAGAAGCACCGGCUAACUACGUGCCAGCAGCCGCGGUAAUACGUAGGGUGCGAGCGUUAAUCGGAAUUACUGGGCGUAAAGCGUGCGCAGGCGGUUUGGCAAGUCAGAUGUGAAAUCCCCGAGCUCAACUUGGGAACUGCGUUUGAAACUGCCAGACUAGAAUAUGUCAGAGGGGGGUAGAAUUCCACGUGUAGCAGUGAAAUGCGUAGAGAUGUGGAGGAAUACCAAUGGCGAAGGCAGCCCCCUGGGAUAAUAUUGACGCUCAUGCACGAAAGCGUGGGGAGCAAAC